rnacentral:lncRNA from 1 species
UAUAAUUGAUUCAUAGGUUAGAAACUUAGUCAAUAAAUUAAUCGCAUGUUGAUAGCUUUGCUAAAUAAGUUAAUUAUGUAGCACACAUAUAGAAAACUUGACUUACAAGUUAAGAUAUGUAUCUUGCCAACCUAUAGGAUAUCGCCACACAAUUCUUGGUUAAGAAUAUAUAUGGACACAAGAGUUAAGCUUUCUUCACUCUUGUCAAUGCUUUCUUAGUCUUUACUCUUAUUUCAAGACUUUUUAGUCUUCUUAUCUUUUGCAAUAGCCAUUUUAGUUUAAUACUAUAUCAUCUUUGUUUGAUUUUCUAGUCUUUUUGAGUGAUAUAAGAGUAUAUUGAUAUUUUAAUUCUUUGAAAUUCAUGUCAUUGGCAAUUUAGUACAUGUACUUUUGGAUUCUUUAUAAUAAUG